CUGUCUCUUUAUGUAUCGACUUAUUUGAUUCAUGAUAUAAUUACACACAAGUCUUUAUCUUUGUUUGUCUCCUCAGAACACAAAAUGACCAGCCUACGACCGACUGCUGGUGAAUCCCCUUCAGCUUCAGAUACAGCUGCCCAGUCAGAUUUCCAGUCUCCUGGAAAUCCUCCCGUUCACAUGCUCCGAUGGUCUGCCCAGUCUCCAGCUCAGCCGGAAGUCUCACAACCAGCAUUGGCGCUCAUUAGGAACAGCAUCAUCCUGCUUCCAUCUACUCAACAUUCUACACAUCUACAGCUGAGUCAGCAACUUAUUGCCAUUCUCAUGUUCAACUUUCUCAGUGUUUACAGUUCUUUGUUUUUCUUUGGCCUCACUGUUUUCAGAUUAUAGAUUUUUCUUGUGUGCCUGCUUGCCUGUGUACUGACUUUUGCUUGUGCCAAUGACGAAGAGUACCGGAAGCCCCAGUGAAGCUGGGCAACACAUUUGGCCUGCCAACAAUUCUGGUUUACAGGUGGCACUGAAUACCAGUAAUAUGAUGACACCUUGCACACCACUCACAGUAAAUGCAUAGAGAGGAAGAACGUGCAAAUCUGCUGCUGUAAUGGACUGCAUGGAGAGGAGAGGCAGUUGACAAGAAAAUUACUUGGAUACACCCCUGAUGCAUCAGUCAGCAGUGCUGAAAAUAGUGAAGACGGGUACAUUCCUGACACAUCUGAGACUAGUUCUGAAGAAAGUGAAAGGAUCCCUUCACCUAAAAAGAGAAGAAUUGAGACCGACUUCAGAGCACAAUCGCAUGAUAAAGUGACCUCACACAACAAAAGCAAAGAGACUGUACCUUCAUACAGAGACCAGUCAGAGUCUGAAGAUCAAGAUGGGAAUGCAGAGUUACAACGAAAACCUCAUCAGUCAUCUUCAGUGUCCAAAG